AACGAACGCUGGCGGCACGCCUCAUACAUGCAAGUCGAGCGGGGUUUUCGGACCUAGCGGCGGACGGGUGAGUAAUGCGUAGGAAGCUGCCCGAUAGAGGGGGAUACCAGUUGGAAACGACUGUUAAUACCGCAUAAUGUCUACGGACCAAAGUGUGGGACCUUCGGGCCACAUGCUAUCGGAUGCGCCUACGUGGGAUUAGCUAGUUGGUGAGGUAAUGGCUCACCAAGGCGACGAUCUCUAGCUGGUUUGAGAGGAUGAUCAGCCACACUGGAACUGAGACACGGUCCAGACUCCUACGGGAGGCAGCAGUGGGGAAUAUUGGACAAUGGGCGCAAGCCUGAUCCAGCCAUGCCGCGUGUGUGAAGAAGGCCUUCGGGUUGUAAAGCACUUUCAGCGAGGAGGAAGGGAUGUAUGUUAAUAGCAUGCAUUUUUGACGUUACUCGCAGAAGAAGCACCGGCUAACUCUGUGCCAGCAGCCGCAGUAAUAC
rnacentral:rRNA from 1 species